rnacentral:pre_miRNA from 1 species
GGAAAAUUAGAAACUGCCGUUAGAUCGAAAAAUGGACAUUCGAGAUUCAUUCACGUCACCAUGAGUAAACAUUUUACUCCCAGUAAAAUUUUUAAUGAGUGAAUGUGUGAGUAAAAUUUUUACUCGUAAUAACGUGGAUGAAUUUCAGACAUCUAUUGUUCGAUCCAACGGUAGUUUCCAGUUUUCC